rnacentral:lncRNA from 1 species
GUACUACCUGGAGAGGUAGGGUUCACACAAACUUCACUUCAGGAAAGCUUUUGUUUUGUUUUGUUUUUUUACAGGAAAGCAUUAGGAUUUGAAAUGAAUGUCCCCAAAGAACAUUUGUCAAAGAAUGUGAAGUGUUUUUAUAUAUUUGAAAGCAGAAUAGAUCAAAGCUGCUGGGGAAUCGAAGAGAGCUUCUUCUUCUUUGAAAAAAGAAAACACAAACCUUGAGCAUACAUUUCACUGGAUGUUUGUAUGUCUCCUGUUCUGAAAACAACUAUUGAAAGGUACCAGACACUGCUUUAAAAAGUAACUUUGAGAUAUUUUGUAAGAGAAUAUUUUAGCUCAAUAGAAAUGGACUCCCAACAGAGGAAAGGUUAGAAGGCACUGUGAAAAAUGUUUGGGGAUGUACUGUACUCAAAUGUAAUUUAUUAUGCAUGGUUUGAAGAUGCCAAAUCAUCAAGUUUAGCAGACUAGGCCUCCUGGUUUCACAAACUUGGAAAGGACAUGGUAUCUUUCACAUUUAUUUCUGUUGCUGUUACAAUAAAACUAGUUCAACUUCUCA